rnacentral:rRNA from 1 species
AUUGAACGCUGGCGGCAGGCCUAACACAUGCAAGUCGAACGGCAGCACAGAAGAGCUUGCUCUUUGGGUGGCGAGUGGCGGACGGGUGAGUAAUGUCUGGGAAACUGCCCGAUGGAGGGGGAUAACUACUGGAAACGGUAGCUAAUACCGCACAACGUCGCGAGACCAAAGUGGGGGACCUUCGGGCCUCACACCAUCGGAUGUGCCCAGAUGGGAUUAGCUAGUAGGCGGGGUAAUGGCUCACCUAGGCGACGAUCCAUAGCUGGUCUGAGAGGAUGACCAGCCACACUGGAACUGAGACACGGUCCAGACUCCUACGGGAGGCAGCAGUGGGGAAUAUUGCACAAUGGGCGCAAGCCUGAUGCAGCCAUGCCGCGUGUAUGAAGAAGGCCUUCGGGUUGUAAAGUACUUUCAGCGGGGAGGAAGGCGGUGAGGUUAAUAACCUCGCCGAUUGACGUUACCCGCAGAAGAAGCACCGGCUAACUCCGUGCCAGCCGCCGCGGUAA